CACGUAGGGUGCGAGCGUUGUCCGGAAUCAUUGGGCGUAAAGCGCGCGUAGGUGGCCUCAUAAGUCCGUUGUGAAAGUCAAAGGCUCAACCUUUGAAAGCCGAUGGAUACUGCCGGGCUAGAGUCCGGAAGAGGCGAGUGGAAUUCCUGGUGUAGCGGUGGAAUGCGCAGAUAUCAGGAGGAACACCGGUGGCGAAGGCGGGUCUCUGGGCCGUAACUGACGCUGAGGAGCGAAAGCAUGGGGAGCGAGCAGG
rnacentral:rRNA from 1 species